rnacentral:rRNA from 1 species
AGUGGCGCCCGGGUGAGUAACACGUGGGUAAUCUUCCUUCGAAUUGGGGAUAACGUUGCGAAAGCGACGCUAAUACCGAAUGACAUCAUUUGGUCCUCGGACCUUUUGAUCAAAGGUGGCCUCUUCAUGAAAGCUACUGUUCGAAGAUGAGCCCGCGCCCCAUUAGCUUGUUGGUAGGGUAACGGCCUACCAAGGCGACGAUGGGUAGCUGGUCUGAGAGGAUGAUCAGCCACACUGGAACUGACACACGGUCCAGACUCCUACGGGAGGCAGCAGUGAGGAAUUUUGCGCAAUGGGCGAAAGCCUGACGCAGCAACGCCGCGUGAGUGAUGAAGGCCUUCGGGUUGUAAAGCUCUGUCAAGUGGGAAGAACCCAUGUGGUGAUAAUACCACCGCAUGCUGACGGUACCACUGAAGGAAGCACCGGCUAACUCCGUGCCAGCAGCCGCGGUAAUAC